AAGAAGCAUAUUCAGCGUGGAUGAGAAAGACGUUUUUGUCAGCCGAACAACCGACAUGUUAAACGUUACAUUCAGUUGGACGCACUGUAGGCCUAACGUUACAUCUGUUCCUCACAAGCUCGUUUUCUGUGCCAUUUGUUAUUUUAUUGGCCAUCAUCAUAUAUUUUAUAUAUAAUUUUGUUUUACGAUUGCAAAUUGCUUACUGGUAACAGAUUACAGGUAACAGUAAAUGCAAACAAAUGCAUUAUGUUGUAUGAAUCGGUCAUAUUUUAAUCAUGAACAAAAAGUCUGUAAAAGUGUUGUGUAGCUUACAUCUUUGGGCUUAACUGUAAUUAGCAAUUAACCAACAAUUCCCCGUUUACCUCCCUUUGUAGGCUAUGACUGAGCACAUUACAGUGAGGAUCACCAUCCAUCUUAAUGUUUUUUUUAGGCAACUCAGGCACACGCUUGAGAGUCUGAGACUGGAUGAAGGGCAAACAUUUGACUAUGAGUCUGAGACUUGAUGAAGGACAGCUGAGUUCGAUCGGUGUCCGGGUCAUAGGGUGGAAGAUGUAGGAGCGAGGAAACGAUUUCGCUGCGAUUGGAGAUGCAGAUCCACCGGCUCAUGGUGAGACACUUCAUACACACAAGAAAGGCGUGCAAGCUGUCCUCCUAAUACGAAGACUACGAUGGUGCACUGCAGGACACCUUUCUCCUUUUAAAUGUUCAAGAAAAAAAAAGGACUGUAAUGGACAUGUAUGUGUGUUUUUUUCAAGCUUUUCUCAGUGGUUGUUUCCCAUGAGGUAUGAGUGUAUUUUCAGCUUUGUAUGACAGUUUCUUGGCAGUUUUUUGCUACUUUUGUGCCCUUGUUGUAUACAUAUACUGGCAUUCACACAUUAGCAUGCACUGGCAGGUUGUGUACGGUUCUUAAUAU